AGAGUUCGAUCCUGGCUCAGGACGAACGCUGGCGGCGUGCCUAACACAUGCAAGUCGAACGGAACUGUUUUGAAAGAUUUCUUCAGAAUGAAUUUGAUUUAGUUUAGUGGCGGACGGGUGAGUAACGCGUGAGUAACCUGCCUUCAAGAGGGGGAUAACAUUCUGAAAAGAGUGCUAAUACCGCAUGACAUAUCGGAACCACAUGGUCUUGAUAUCAAAGAUUUUAUCGCUUGAAGAUGGACUCGCGUCCGAUUAGUUAGUUGGUGAGGUAACGGCUCACCAAGACCGCGAUCGGUAGCCGGACUGAGAGGUUGAACGGCCACAUUGGGACUGAGACACGGCCCAGACUCCCACGGGAGGCAGCAGUGGGGGAUAUUGCGCAAUGGGGGCAACCCUGACGCAGCAACGCCGCGUGAAGGAUGAAGGUUUUCGGAUUGUAAACUUCUUUUAUUAAGGACGAAAAUUGACGGUACUUAAUGAAUAAGCUCCGGCUAACUACGUGCCAGCAGCCGCGGUAAUACGUAGGGAGCAAGCGUUGUCCGGAUUUACUGGGUGUAAAGGGUGCGUAGGCGGCUUUGCAAGUCAGAUGUGAAAUCUAUGGGCUCAACCCAUAAACUGCAUUUGAAACUGUAGAGCUUGAGUGAAGUAGAGGCAGGCGGAAUUCCCCGUGUAGCGGUGAAAUGCGUAGAGAUGGGGAGGAACACCAGUGGCGAAGGCGGCCUGCUGGGCUUUAACUGACGCUGAGGCACGAAAGCGUGGGUAGCAAACAGGAUUAGAUACCCUGGUAGU
rnacentral:rRNA from 1 species